rnacentral:lncRNA from 1 species
CAAUACCCUUCUUCCAAAAGACACCAUGAUAUCAUGAACAUUAGUCCAAGUCUCAAACCAGCAUAGUAUUGGACUCAGUUUCCUGAUAUUCCAUGCAGAUUCAACGUUCUUCUCUCCUUCAGUGACACGGGUUUCUUAGCAAUAUGCCAGAAGGAUAUCAAUCGAACUGUAGCACACUUGACGACAGGCUCUGUUGUCUAGCAGAUAAGAUUUAUUGACAAAUUCUUGUAGCUGAUAUUUCUCUUCAGAAAAAGACACUAAUGCAGCAUGAUUUUCUUGCUUCUGACUCUUUUCCAAAAAGGCCGUCGUUUUUUAAUAUUUGUCAGUCCACCAAGGAUUAUACUUCAAAAUCUGUUCAACUGCCUCAUCUUCAAAAAAGUCAGCUAGAUAAUGAUCAGGAUCAAACUUGGCCAGCUCAGCGGCCAGGUGCUUUUGUUUUCGUUCUGCUGCAGGGGUGAAAUCUGGAUCCUUAAUAGCAUCACUCAAUUCAUCCUGUAACUGCUGAAACACUCCUGAUCGUAAGUUUCCAAACCCAUAGUAGCAUGAGGAUUCAAAGCACUUUCUGUUACCUCUUCAUAGGGUGUCUGCUCAAUUUCCCAAUCAAACUCUUCAUCGUGAACUACUUCCUCAGGAAUUUCAGAAUCACCUAUUGCUUCCACAAGUGGUUUUGCUGUCCCGGAUUUUCCUGGUGCCAGAAGAGCAACACAUGUUCAGCCCCUCAAAAUGCUGGCCAGGGGUUUCUUUGGGCAGGGGCAAGUUAUGAAUAAAGUUGAGCCAUAAAUCAAAAGGAUGUUAACUGAAAAAGAAGUCUCAAAGCAGAUGGUGAGAAAGUGAAGACAGAGAGCCUCUGCCCCAGUUCAGGAGGAAUAUUCCGGACCAAACACACAAAGGAAGCAGUCUGGCAGCUGCCACUACCAUCCUGAUAACAUUGCUCCCUGGAGGAGACGUUGAGGACCAUUUCC